UUGGUGCAUGACUGUAGAACUUUAAGCAAUGAUGAAAAUGCUCUAUAUCUACACUGUCCAUUAUGGUAACCACUAGCCACUUGUGACUACUGAGUAUCUGAAAGGUUCUGCUUGAAUUCUUGCCCUGGCUCUUGGUGAAGGGUCGGCCUGCUGGAUCUGAGUCAUCCACCUAUAAGAGGGACACCACCACACAUUGGUCACUGCUCUCAAGCCCCUGGAACACCACCCCACUUGGCUUCUCCUGAGAUGGGCUCUCACUACAGCCCUGUUCUGGAAGUCCUGGGCUCAAGCUAUCCUCCCACUUUGGCCUCCCCAAAAUGCUGGGAUUACAGGCGUGAACCACCACAUCUAACCUAAAAUUAUAUUGUUAAAAGACUUUGUUUCUCAGUUUGGGAUAAUCAGAACUCAUAGUUCUGAUCUCAACUACCAAUUUUAAUGAGGUGCUUCUUUCUAAUUCCAUCAGCUGUCUGGCCAUCUGCAGAUAUCACCCACAUAAACAAAAACUUUUUGGGAGUCCUCCAGAAUUUUUAAGAGUUAUCUAAACUAUUGCCUUUAAUGACCAGGAACUCCAAUUUGAGAAGUGUUACCCUACGUUAAGCCAACAGCAGCCUGGCUCCUUCAUGCUGUGCAGUAUGGGACAGAGCUGGGUCCUUGUUGUCAUCAGCCAGAUAAGCACACAUUAAAGCCCACCUUAGCAGUUGACAUUAGAUCUUUAAAAGCAGCUCCAUCCUACCAUGCUGUCACUCUACUCAAUCACGUGAUCUUAACGACCAGAUCUACAUAUCCUCCCUCCAUGCUCCCACCACCAUCCUCCACCAAC